rnacentral:ncRNA from 1 species
AGAGACUUAGUCCUAACCUUACCGUUAGUUGUUGCUAAAUACAUACAUGCAAGUAUCCGCACGCCAGUGUAAAUGCCCUUGGCCCCCUUAACAAGAUAAAAGGAGCAGGUAUCAGGCGCACCACAGCCGUAGCCUAAGACACCUUGCUUAGCCACACCCCCACGGGUAUUCAGCAGUAGUUGACAUUAAGCAAUGAGUGAAAACUCGACUUAGUUAUAGCAACCUAAGGGCCGGUAAAUCUUGUGCCAGCCACCGCGGUCACACAAGAGGCCCAAAUUAACUGUACACGGCGUAAAGAGUGGCCUACACCCCUAUCAUGCUGACUAAGACCAAACUGCGACCAAGCUGUCAUAAGCUCAGAGCGCAUAUAAGCCCCACCUUAAGACGAACUUAGCGCUACGAUUAACAUACACCACGAAAGCUAGGGUACAAACUGGGAUUAGAUACCCCACUAUGCCUAGCCCUAAAUUUAGAUGCUUACCCUACUGAAGCUUCCGCCCGAGUAUUACGAGCACAAACGCUUAAAACUCUAAGGACUUGGCGGUGUCUCAGACCCACCUAGAGGAGCCUGUCCUAUAAUCGAUAACCCACGAUGCACCCGACCAUUCCUAGCCAAAGCAGCCUACAUACCGCCGUCGCCAGCUCACCUCCACUGAGAGCAUAACAGUGAGCACAACAGCCAAAAUCCGCUAACAAGACAGGUCAAGGUAUAGCCAAUGGAUUGGAAGAGAUGGGCUACAUUUUCUAAAAUAGAACAACACAGAAAGGGACCUGAAACAAUCCCUAGAAGGUGGAUUUAGCAGUAAAGGGGGAUUAAAGAGCCCCCUUUAAGCCGGCCCUGGGGCACGUACAUACCGCCCGUCACCCUCCUCACAAGCCCUAAUACCCUGUAAACCUAAUACACCUCUCCGGCUAAAGAUGAGGC